AAAAAGCAAACGAGAGUGGAAAGACACUCAUAUCAAUACAUGAAACUUUGUAAGCAUCAUGAACCAAAGAGAUAUUUUAAGGCAAAUGAGAUUCUACCUCCCCACUUCUCUGGAUUGAGAAUCCAAGUACAGUAUUCUUCAUUAGGCUUCCCUAGAAAUGCUUCGUUAUAUUUCUCCUUGUCGCUUGCAACUGCUGCAGCUAUCACCUAAGCAUAACAACACCAAGCUUAUGUCUUAUUGUUUUCAGGUGUACAUAAACACUGAAUGCAGCUAAAACUAAGCUUUAGAUACCAUAAGGAAGCGGAUAACUACAAACUCAAAAGAAGAAGCUAAACAUUAAAUAGAUGAAAGAAGCUAAGACAGAAGAAGAAGAAAACCUGUCUUAGCUCAGGAGCUUUCUUCUUGUCCUUGUCCAUGACAUAACUGUAAACAAAAA